AUGCAAGUCGAACGAAGUAGCAAUACUUAGUGGCAGACGGGUGAGUAACAUGUGGGUAUCUGCCCUUUGGCCUGGAAUAACACGAGGAAACUUGUGCUAAUACCGGAUAAGUCUUUACAGAGAAAGCUUUAUGCACCAUUGGAUGAGCCUGCACUUGAUUAGUUUGUUGGUAGGGUAACGGCCUACCAAGACUGUGAUCAAUAGCUGAUUUGAGAGGAUGAUCAGCCACAUUGGGACUGAGACACGGCCCAAACUCCUACGGGAGGCAGCAGUGGGGAAUCUUGCACAAUGGAGGAAACUCUGAUGCAGCGAUGCCGCGUGAGUGAAGAAGGCCUUUGGGUUGUAAAGCUCUUUCGUCGGGGAAGAAAAUGACUGUACCCGAAUAAGAAGGUCCGGCUAACUUCGUGCCAGCAGCCGCGGUAAUACGAAGGGACCUAGCGUAGUUCGGAAUUACUGGGCUUAAAGAGUUCGUAGGUGGUUGAAAAAGUUGGUGGUGAAAUCCCAGAGCUUAACUCUGGAACUGCCAUCAAAACUUUUCAGCUAGAGUUUGAUAGAGGAAAGCAGAAUUUCUAGUGUAGAGGUGAAAUUCGUAGAUAUUAGAAAGAAUACCGAUUGCGAAGGCAGCUUUCUGGAUCAUUACUGACACUGAGGAACGAAAGCAUGGGUAGCGAAGAGGAUUAGAUACCCUCGUAGUCCAUGCCGUAAACGAUGUGUGUUAGACGUUGGAAAUUUAUUUUCAGUGUCGCAGCAAAAGCGAUAAACACACCGCCUGGGGAGUACGACCGCAAGGUUAAAACUCAAAUGAAUUGACGGGGACCCGCACAAGUAGUGGAGCAUGUGGUUUAAUUCGAAGAUACGCGCAGAACCUUACUAACACUUGACAUGUUCGUCGCGACUUUAAGAGAUUAAAGUUUUCGGUUCGGCCGGACGAAACACAGGUGCUGCAUGGCUGUCGUCAGCUCGUG
rnacentral:rRNA from 1 species